rnacentral:lncRNA from 1 species
CCUGCCGAAUACACAAUGAGCCACAAGCAAACAGAAUGCCAGAUAUAUAAAAAAAGAUACAAUUAAUUAUGUUUUUUUAAAAAAAAUAUUAUGGGUAAGAGCAAUCUAUACGUCGGUUAUAACAAUAUGCUAGCACAAAUGGUACGACAAUUAUCCUAAAUCCUCACACAGCCUUAUGCUGAAACUGAUAAAACGACCCACGCU